rnacentral:rRNA from 2 species
ACCUCGGAUCAGGUAGGAAUACCCGCUGAACUUAAGCAUAUCAAUAAGCGGAGGAAAAGAAACCAACAGGGAUUGCCCUAGUAACGGCGAGUGAAGCGGCAACAGCUCAAAUUUGAAAUCUGGCCCUCGGGUCCGAAUUGUAAUUUGUAGAGGAUGCUUUUGGUGAGGUACCUUCCGAGUUCCCUGGAACGGGACGCCAUAGAGGGUGAGAGCCCCGUCUGGUUGGAUACCGAUCCUCUGUAAAGCUCCUUCGACGAGUCGAGUAGUUUGGGAAUGCUGCUCUAAAUGGGAGGUAUAUGUCUUCUAAAGCUAAAUAUUGGCCAGAGACCGAUAGCGCACAAGUAGAGUGAUCGAAAGAUGAAAAGCACUUUGAAAAGAGAGUUAAAAAGUACGUGAAAUUGUUGAAAGGGAAGCGCUCAUGACCAGACUUGGGCUUGGUUGAUCAUCCAGGGUUCUCCCUGGUGCACUCUUCCAGCCCAGGCCAGCAUCAGUUCGCUGUGGGGGAUAAAGGCUUUGGGAAUGUGGCUCCUCCGGGAGUGUUAUAGCCCAUUGUGUAAUACCCUGUGGUGGA